UACGAAGGGGACUAGCGUUGUUCGGAAUCACUGGGCGUAAAGCGCACGUAGGCGGAUUCGUAAGUCAGUGGUGAAAGCCCCAAGCUUAACUUGGGAAUUGCCAUUGAUACUGAUGGUCUUGAGUACACUUGAAGUGGGCGGAAUGUGUCAUGUAGCGGUGAAAUGCUUAGAUAUGACACAGAACACCGAUUGCGAAGGCAGCUCACUAAAUUGUAACUGACGCUGAGGCACGAAAGCGUGGGGAUCAAACAGG
rnacentral:rRNA from 1 species